rnacentral:rRNA from 1 species
GGAUCAUGAGUUCACAUGUCCGCAUGAUUAAAGGUAUUUUCCGGUAGACGAUGGGGAUGCGUUCCAUUAGAUAGUAGGCGGGGUAACGGCCCACCUAGUCAACGAUGGAUAGGGGUUCUGAGAGGAAGGUCCCCCACAUUGGAACUGAGACACGGUCCAAACUCCUACGGGAGGCAGCAGUGAGGAAUAUUGGUCAAUGGGCGAUGGCCUGAACCAGCCAAGUAGCGUGAAGGAUGACUGCCCUAUGGGUUGUAAACUUCUUUUAUAAAGGAAUAAAGUCGGGUAUGCAUACCCGUUUGCAUGUACUUUAUGAAUAAGGAUCGGCUAACUCCGUGCCAGCAGCCGCGGUAAUACGGAGGAUCCGAGCGUUAUCCGGAUUUAUUGGGUUUAAAGGGAGCGUAGAUGGAUGUUUAAGUCAGUUGUGAAAGUUUGCGGCUCAACCGUAAAAUUGCAGUUGAUACUGGAUGUCUUGAGUGCAGUUGAGGCAGGCGGAAUUCGUGGUGUAGCGGUGAAAUGCUUAGAUAUCACGAAGAACUCCGAUUGCGAAGGCAGCCUGCUAAGCUGCAACUGACAUUGAGGCUCGAAAGUGUGGGUAUCAAACAGGAUUAGAUACCCUGGUAGUCCACACGGUAAACGAUGAAUACUCGCUGUUUGCGAUAUACGGCAAGCGGCCAAGCGAAAGCGUUAAGUAUUCCACCUGGGGAGUAC